GUGCUUGUUUCAGCAGCACAUACACUGAAGUUGGAAUGGUUCAGAGAAGAUUAGAGUGGCCCCUGUGCAAUGACUACAGAAAAAUUUAUGAAGUAUUCCAUAUUUAA
ensembl:snRNA U6 U6 spliceosomal RNA